rnacentral:misc_RNA from 1 species
UCCCAGUUUUCACUUCAAAUAAGCAGCCUUGUCUGUUUUAACAAGCCCAACUCUUAAAGCAUCCUAGUUCUGUGCAACAUAAGUAAAUUUUGCAUGGAACAGAAGCCAUAGUCUUCUCAGAAUGCCAAUACUCGACUAAGAAUGCUCAACUCAAUUACAAUCCGCUUACUGCUUAGAUGACCGAGUUUGUUUUGGGUCCCUCCUCCUCCGGAGCAUCGCUAGGAAGAUCCAGCCCUUGAGGAAUCUUUCCACUAUAGUUUGUUGUUGCAGGAUCUGAUCCAGUCAUACUUCUGUCAACAAUGAUCAUGGAUCGAAGCUCGCAAUUCGCAAAGCGAUCGCACAUUUCUUUUUUCACCAAUGGGUGACAGUCAUUUCCAAAUGCAUUUAAGGUAUGAAACAAGAACCCACUGUGGGUAACUAUAGCUAUCUCUUUCUCUUUCCUUGUCCACAACCAGUUCAUGAACUUCAAUCCUCUGGCAAUAAGAUCUUCUGUUGGCUCUCUCACAUUGGCCUUCCACAGUACAUCCUCAUCAGUUUCUACCAGUGAAAAGUCAAUUGCGGGGAAAAGAAACUGAUAGUCACUCAUGUUUCCCCUCCUGUCACAAGGACGCACACCAAAAUGUUCUCGACAAAGUUCUACAGCAAUGAAAGGUGGGGAAUUAAGACUUGAAAUUGCUGCUCGACCGCUGUUUCCAGCAUUUGCCACCAUCAGUGG